UGGGGGAUAUUGCACAAUGGGCGAAAGCCUGAUGCAGCGACGCCGCGUGGGGGAUGAAGGCCUUCGGGUUGUAAACUUCUUUUGCUCUGAACAAGGCAUGCUAAUGGGUGUGUUGAGUGUAGGGGUUCAUUAGCGCCGGCUAACUACGUGCCAGCAGCCGCGGUAAUACGUAGGGCGCGAGCGUUGUCCGGAAUUAUUGGGCGUAAAGGGCUUGUAGGUGGCUGGUUGCGUCUGUCGUGAAAGCUCAUGGCUUAACUGUGGGUUUGCGGUGGGUACGGGCUGGCUUGAGUGCAGUAGGGGAGGCUGGAAUUCCUGGUGUAGCGGUGGAAUGCGCAGAUAUCAGGAGGAAUACCGGUGGCGAAGGCGGGUCUCUGGGCUGUUACUGACACUGAGGAGCGAAAGCAUGGGGAGCGAACAGG
rnacentral:rRNA from 1 species